GUACAUAAUGAAUCAAUAGUGAAAUCUACUGCCUUAACUUGUUCUCAAAAGCUGUAUCAGUACCUAAUGGAGUGGGGCGCAAAAAUAACCAGCUCUCACUGAUUACCAACUCUAUUCUAGUUCAUUUAGGUUUCCUAAAGAGUGAAGAUAAAAAGUUCAAAGUCAACUAUAAUUUGGAUGGGUGUCUAAAUUCUUUGAACAAAGCUUUAGAGCAACCGUUCUUCCCCGCAUCAACUAAAGAAGUAAUCCUAGUGUUCCUCGGAAGGAAUGAUCUCGCCCCCAAUCUGCAGAUGAAGAGACAUCUUGACAAGAAAGCUGCUGAAGGAGACCGCUCGAAGCAGUGAGGUCAAGACGUGAACUCCUAAUGACUGAGUCUUGAUAACCGUGCAACUCAUACCAAAAAGAAUACGACCGUAAAUUAUUUCUUUCAUUGUAAAACGUAUCGCAAAGUUAUUUAAGAACUUAGUGGUGACCACUGGCUUUCAAUGGAGCAUCAGUGAUGCAACAGUUUAAAGUGGAACAGAUCUCACUUUCAAAUUUUUUAAUUUUUGUGGUUUUGGGCUCCACUAAACUUAAGGUUAUUCCGUCCGAGAGGCGUAUUCAUGGUUCCUCCAUAACCUAAAAGCUUUUUUAGUAAUUGAUGGCAAGCAGCUUAAGGGGACCUUUAACCUUAAAAAGAGAUCAAGCCCUCGAAAGCAUUGCUCCUGUUGUCAUGUUCCUAAUGGCACGCCAUACCUUAAAAUUAGAAGAGAUUGAUUUUUGAAGAUGCAAGUUGAAGCACUUUAUUUCAGUUUCAACUUUAAAGUUACAACAAACAAAAUGAUAUUCACAUCGAUAUUAAUUGUUUUGCCGCAUUAUAGGGAAAAGUAGAAGUAAGAGGUAACUUCCUGUAAUGGAGCAUCGCACCCUGUCAAAUUACUAACUCGACUGAAGAAGCCAACUGUGUGGGUGUGAGAACUUUACUUUUAUCAGAAAAAUCAAAUUUUCGUUUCUCUGAAACGCUGACAUGCUCCCCUCCCCCUUCAAAAUUGUAGCUGAAUGCUCCAAAAGACUUCAAGAGGAAGGAGACUUCGUAGUGUGACCUGUAAAGUGACAGUAGUGUCAACCCGACUGUAAUUAUUAGGAUCCUUGUUUUUUUUUCACUGCUGUCAUAGUUGGUCAUAGACAGCUGAGAGUGAAUGGUUCAUUGCUCUUCCUCUGAAAAAUUUCCAAGUUCCUGUAUGAUCACAACAUUUCUUAUGCAGUACCAAGGUCUUCUUGGAUCUAUAAGGAUGGCACA
rnacentral:lncRNA from 1 species